UACGUAGGUGGCAAGCGUUAUCCGGACUUAUUGGGCGUAAAGAGGACGCAGGCGGUCUUUUAAGUCUGAUGUGAAAGCCUUCGGCUUAACCGGAGUAGUGCAUUGGAAACUGGGAGACUUGAGUGCAGAAGAGGAGAGUGGAACUCCAUGUGUAGCGGUGAAAUGCGUAGAUAUAUGGAAGAACACCAGUGGCGAAAGCGGCUCUCUGGUCUGUAACUGACGCUGAGGUUCGAAAGCGUGGGUAGCAAACAGG
rnacentral:rRNA from 1 species